AGAGUUUGAUCAUGGCUCAGAGUGAACGCUGGCGGCGUGCUUAACACAUGCAAGUCGCACGAGAACGCUUCUGCUUGCAGAGGCUAGUAAAGUGGCGCACGGGUGAGUAACACGUGGGUAAUCUACCUCCGGAUCGGGGAUAACAUUGCGAAAGCGAUGCUAAUACCGGAUGACAUCAUUGAUUCCUCGGAUGAUAUGAUCAAAGGUGGCCUCUUCAUGAAAGCUACUGUCUGGAGAUGAGCCCGCGCCCCAUUAGUUUGUUGGUAGGGUAACGGCCUACCAAGGCUACGAUGGGUAGCUGGUCUGAGAGGAUGAUCAGCCACACUGGAACUGACACGCGGUCCAGACUCCUACGGGAGGCAGCAGUGAGGAAUUUUGCGCAAUGGGCGAAAGCCUGACGCAGCAACGCCGCGUGAGUGAUGAAGGCCUUUGGGUCGUAAAGCUCUGUCAAGUGGGAAGAACCUACGGAGUGCCAAUACCACUCUGUACUGACGGUACCACUGAAGGAAGCACCGGCUAACUCCGUGCCAGCAGCCGCGGUAAUACGGGGGGUGCAAGCGUUACUCGGAUUCAUUGGGCGUAAAGGGCGCGUAGGCGGCCCAGUAAGUCAGGUGUGAAAGCCCGGGGCUCAACCCCGGAAGUGCACUUGAUACUGCUAGGCUUGAGUAUGGGAGAGGGAAGUGGAAUUCCUGGUGUAGAGGUGAAAUUCGUAGAUAUCAGGAGGAACACCGGUGGCGAAGGCGACUUCCUGGACCAAUACUGACGCUGAGGCGCGAAGGCGUGGGUAGCAAACAGGAUUAGAUACCCUAGUAGUCC
rnacentral:rRNA from 1 species